GACGAACGCUGGCGGCGUGCUUAACACAUGCAAGUCGAACGAUGAAGCCUUAGCUUGCUUUGGUGGAUUAGUGGCGAACCGGUGAGUAACACGUGAGCAACGUGCCCAGGACUCUGGAAUAACCGCGGGAAACCGUGGCUAAUACCGGAUAGGUGCCGAGGCCGCAUGGUCUUCGGUUGGAAAGUUUUUGCGGUUCUGGAUCGGCUCACGGCCUAUCAGCUUGUUGGUGGGGUAAUGGCCUACCAAGGCGACGACGGGUAGCCGGCCUGAGAGGGUGACCGGCCACACUGGGACUGAGACACGGCCCAGACUCCUACGGGAGGCAGCAGUGGGGAAUAUUGCACAAUGGGCGCAAGCCUGAUGCAGCAACGCCGCGUGGGGGAUGACGGCCUUCGGGUUGUAAACCUCUUUUAGUAGGGAAGAAGCGCAAGUGACGGUACCUGCAGAAAAAGCACCGGCUAACUACGUG
rnacentral:rRNA from 1 species